CCAAAGGGUAACAUAAUCAAGUAUGUAAAGGUUACUAACUUUGAUUCCCGUAUUGAGACUGAAAGCCUUGUUAGUUCCAUUUUACACACACAGAAAAGACUGCCAAGGAUACAGUCAGAAUGAAGGCUGUAAAAACUUGGAUGAAUGACGAUUGUGGACCAGAUUUAGGAGGUGGCGGUCCCUCACCAGUUGGAUCAAGAAGAUCAUCAGACUGAUAGCAACGAUGCAGAUUGAGUGAGUGGCGUGCUAGCUAGUAAUCAUUGCUAGGAACAAAUAUGAUUAUUUUUUUUAACACUCUGGUUGAACUUAACUCUUUUAAACUUUUAUAUAGAUGAUGAUGUAAAUUUGGAGUUUAUGCAAAUAACCCCAUCUAAUUCAAAAGUUUGAUUGGCAAUGUGGUCUGCUAAAGCAUUUCAUGAUUUCGUAAAUAUGUGAGAAAAUUGGCAUGAAUUGAUAAGAAUUUUGAUUUCCUCAACCAUAGUGACAAUGUUCUAUGGAAUAUCCCAUAUGUGUUCCAAGAUGUUUUUAUGCACCAAGAAACCUGGCUUUCAGCUGCACCUCUAUAAUAUCAUUUGCCACAAAAUAAAGCAAGGCUCUGAGUGACUCUAUGAGAAAGAACUUUAGUCCACAUCAAGAAGAAUUGAAUAGAGCAAGGUUUCCGAACCACUACAAAAUUUUUAGAGGGUCUUGAUCUAGAAGAGGCAAGGAUGCUAGAUGAGUAGGACAUAGUUUACUGAAGCAGAAGAGUGUUUUGGAGACAAAGCCGAGAAGGGUGUGGUCAAAGAACGAACUCCUGAGAUUCCAGAUGUUAGUAAUGGAAAUGAUUGUAUUGCAAAAGACCAUUUCUCCUCGAGAUGAGGGAAUGAAGUACGUCAUCAAGAAGAUUCCGUCCCACCCAUUGAGAUUCGGCACGGCAUAUAGGGCUAUUUUUUUUUUUGAUGAUUUUGAAUCAUCAAUAGGUGAAGAAGGUAUAAAGUUAUUUAGGCAAUCCAUAUUUGGUCACUACUUAGAUAUGCCAAACUGUAAUUUUCAAGGGCAAAUCAUCAAAUGUCUCUUACUUCUUGAGGUAGAACAAAAAAACAAAGAGGAAUUGCACAUUCGUCACGUGCAGGGUAAUAUACUCUGAUUUAUAAUAAAG